UUUUCAUGUCAGGCGCUGCUCUUGUUUUGGUCCAUGUUAUUGAACUCACUAACUGCGUCCUGAUUACCUGUGUCUACGUUACAAAAUACUACCUCACCAAAUGGAAUCAGCGGUUAAGUUACGCAGGACAUCUCCCAGAUGGUCAGCAAAUAGAGACACUUACUUCUCCAACACCACGACCAGCUGGCACAACUGGGGAUGGCUAUGGAAGAGGUCCUCCGGGUUCUUCGACAUUUCCAGAGGGGUGUCACCUCCAACCACCGGAGGAUUCUCCACCACCGGUCGAGCCAGCACCCCAGCCUGUCCAAUAGUCCGCCCAUGUCAACGAUGACCGUUUGUCCCUCCCAGACAAAUAUGACGGGUCUCCAUCCAAAUCACGUGGCUUCCUACUCCAGUGCUCCCUCUUUCACUCAUCAGAUGAGAGCCCACACCACUGAGAGGUCUAAGGUUGCCACGGUUAUUUCCCUGCAGACCAGGUGAGCGUUGGAGUGGGCUACGGUUGUCUGGCGGAUCUUGGUUCCUAUGAGGGGUUCAGCGGGGUCUUCGACCAUCCACCAGAGGGGGGUGAGCGCCUACUCCAACUACGGCAGGAAGGCCAGACCACGGUGGCAUAAGCACUCACCUUUCAGACAGUAGCAGCAUCUAGCGGAUGGAAUGAACAGGUGCUCUGCACCCUAUUCAGAAGAGGGUUGCGCGAAGAGGUCAAGCUGCAGUUGGCAUGCUGAGAUGACACUUUAACCUUUGACUCACUCAAUCCAAUGGUCAUCCGUCUGGAUAACCUUUGGGAGUGUCUGUACCCCCAUUGCCUCUCUCCCUCCUUGUUGACCAUUCUGAACCUGAACCCCAUGGAGGUAGGGGCAACACCUCUCCGUGGCAUCGCCAGAGACAGCUGGGGCUCUGUCCUUAUUGCGGCCAGGAGGGUUACCGGCGUCAGUGGUGUCCGGUACGCCCUAACCUCCAUGGUUAGGGCAUCCACCGCUCUGGACACAGAACCUUUGGGAUUCAGCUCAGUGAUACACAUCACAGCACCCUCACGGUGGGACCUAUGCACCAGGAAAGCCUUCCCUCCGCACCUGUACACAAGGCGAAGUACUAUGAAGAAACCACUGAUCUCGACAACCAUUCAGGGUGUCUUCGCUAGACAGACAGAGGGGAGGGGAGGUGUCCCAUCCACCGGAACCAGUGAGUUCAGAUCACUCUGAGUCUUUGUGCUCUGAGUCAGAGGGGGACCAGCUUGAGGAGCUAGGGGUUCUGCCUAACACCCAGACCUGGAUACACCUGAUGUCCUCCAUUACCAACUACAUAACAUCAGAUACUGGUGUCAUUAUCUGUUAAGUUUUCUUGCUUUAUCAUAAUGUGAGACCCAGAUAAAAAAUCAAACGGAUUUGCAUAUGAAUGGAGUGGAGACUUACUUACUUCGUAGAGUAAGUAACUUUAAUGUGUCACGCAGAUUACACUUUGUUUGCCAGUAACGUAGCGAUGUUUAAGACAUGGAUUUCAUGUUGUAAUGUUAACAAGGUACCCAAAAGUCGUUUGAAUUCAUGUUUUCAUUUGUUUAGUUAAGCAACUUGUUCAAACAGUGAAAUUGUGGUCGGAACUCUGCCUUGUUUGCAUAGCGACGAUGAAAAGAAUGUCAUUUAGGCGGUAAUCUCAAACUCUAAUCAUUGGGUCAUCACACCGUUGAUACAGCAACGGACGCUAAUAGUUUAUAGAAUUCCAUUGUGACGCAGAGGACACUAUUUGUCAUGACAGGCCCGAUUCCUUCCUUGGGUGGAGUAUGCCCAGAAUUAGUUGUCAUUCAUCCACCGGGCUGACUACCUUCCAGUGUAUUCUGGGUUACCAGCCAGCCCUGGCCCCAUGGACUCCAAGCCAGACCGAAGCGCCAUCCGCCUCAGAAGGAGCAGUCGGUUCAUCACAGCAGUGAGGUGUGUCGUGGUUAUUCUAAUCCAUAAUGAGGAGAGACAUGAACCAUUAACAAUCAGAUAUUCUUUAUUCAAAAAGUAUUAAUAAGGGAGCAAGUCACCAUACACACAGCGUUACUAGAGCGAGCUCAGAGAUUCUGAUUUGGGGCUUGCUUUAUAAAGUUUAACCUUGUUACUUCUCCUUAAUCCACCACAACUGUCUCAAUGUGUCGAACCAACUGAUCUCUACUGGAUGAGGUGGCCAAAUAUUCUGAGUCCUCUGUGUUCUCUUGUGAGUUAAGAACGGGUUGGUCUUAGAAUAGAGGAUAAGGAGAGACUUUGUUCAGAACGGAGAUGCCUCAUUUCGAACAUGCAAGUUUUAGUGUAGAGGGUGGGGUUAAGAACAUGAGCUGUGCACAGCCGUAGUGGAUUCGGUACAGACUUAGGUGAAAACAGCAAUUUACACAACCAGUGUACAUAACUAUCAUGUUACUAUCAUUUAAAGUAAUACCCCCCCCGCCCCCACACAGGCGCCCAUGUUCGAUCCUGGUGAUCGCAUCUGGCUCUCCACCAGGAACCUCCCACUCAGUCUUCCCUGUAAGAGGCGGAGUCCUCUGUUUAUGGGGCCAUUCGGGGUCCUCCGGAGGGUCAACAACUAAACAUACAGAUUAUAACUCUCCUCCAACUACCAGAGUUCACCCUCUUUUCACAUUUCCCUCUUAAGGCCAGUGGUUCCUGGUCUCCUGGCUGACGAUGUCCCGCACAACACUCCACUUCGCCUGGACAUCGAGGAAGCCCCACAAAUUGUGCAUGCUAACGGGGGGGGGUGUAUUACUUUAAAUGAUAGUAACAUGGUAGUUAUGUACACUGGUUGUGUAAAUUGCUGUUUUCACCUGGGGGGGGGGGGGGGGGGUGUUGUACACGAUCACGUCUCCUCCCCUUCGACAUCACCGGUCUACUAACUACUGGUCCUGGCAACCCAUCUUCACGCACACCUGCAUCUCAUCAGUCACAACUGGACCUCAUUGCUCCCUGCUUGUUUACCCUUCUAAUAGCACUCUUUUGUUACUAGUUUUCAGGUAGUGUUGUUUGUUUCUGUGUCAGAUGCUUCUCUUGUUUUGCAUCAUUCCAGGUUAAUUGAUAUUAAACUCACUAACUGCACCUGC